GGCAGGCCAGAGGAGCAAAGAAGCCUAAUCUGAGAGUCCAGGAGGCUGUGUGCCCUGCUUGGAAUGCUCUUCUCUGAAUGGGCGCAUUAGCACCUUUCCUGUUCAGCUGGGACUCCAGAUGGCAAGACCAGAAUGAAACCUGAGGCCUCCGGAUCUCAUCAGGCAGAGGAAUCUACAUAAUGUGACAAGGAAUCUACAUAAUGUGACGACUUGACAAUUCCACACUCCACGUUCUCCAGGUGCCUGCGUGUGGCGUGGUGAGCGCUCACCCUGUGAGCCAGCAUGGGACAAGCACUCAGGACAGUUUGCUGGAUGAAGCUGAGACACUGGGUCACUGGGUCACUCUGGCUGCCGAGCAGGUGAAAGAGUUUUUCAGAUGUGCAGCGAGGUGUACCCAGUACAGGCCCGAGCAGAGGGAGCCUCGCAGCAGCUGAGGGAAGAAGGGGCUCAUGUGUAGGAAGAACCCCAGGCAGCCACGGUCUUGCCUCUUGCUUGCUCUACUGCCUCCAGUUCAGACUGGGGGUCAAGGCCCCUGUGGAAGGCAUGCCCUCCCAGCACCCACAUCCCAACACGUGUGUUCAGACUGGUGAGGAGGACCCUGCUCCUUGACACACUCAGCGAGCCCACUCCUGGACUUUGCUGUCCUCAGAGACCAGGGGCGUCAGGGUCUCAACGAUGCCAGGUCAGGGCAUGCAGCACUGCUGCUGGGAGUCAGAAGGACUGUUGGCACAACGCCGAUGCUGGUUGCUUGGUGAGGGAAGAGGGAAGCACGUGAUAGGGACCAUCCAGAUGUCAGAUUCUUCAGGGCCUCCUCCUAGAGGACCCCAGUCACCAUGUGUCAAACAGAGUAACCUUCCAGGAUGGCACAUGUGGUCUGACAAGGGGCUUUGGAAGGUAGUUUCAGUCCGCUGUUGUUUUUUGUAUGGAUGACCUGGGGCCUCUGGGCUUUAGUUUUCCCAUCUGCAAAAUGGAGAUGUUGAUGUGUAAUUUUGAGACAGACCAUCUAAAAGCCAUCGGCAAGAAUGGAGGUCAAAUGAUUUCGAUAAUUGCAGCUGCACACGGGGCUAAAAUAGUUCAAUCUGAGAGUUGAGGGGGUGGGAGGUGAGAAUGGCCUUAGAUGAGGGGGCCUCACUGCCACUGAGGUCACCACCUUUGCCAGCACAUGGAGACGGGCAUGGUGACCUCCUCCCACCUCUGGUUGCUCAUCACUUUGAGGCUUUGGCUCCUCGGAUUUCCCUCAGCACUAAUCACUCUUUUUUUUUUUUUAUUGCUUAUGGUCGUUUGUUGCUCUUCUCUAUUUAGUUAUGAAGUUGACCUUAAAUGCAGUCCAUAACAUCCUAUCCUUAUCCUCUUUUUUAGUGAAUUUUUUCCAACAGAUAGUUAUGGCAGUUUCAAAGCUUUAGCUGCAAAUUUCAGAAAUCCUAAAUCAAGAUAGCUUAUAUAAUAUUGGAGAGUUAAUAGUUUGUUAUUAAAUGGCCCAGAGACAGAUCUUCAGCCAAAGUUUGAUCCAGAACCAAAGAUGACAUCUGGGACCAGUUUCGUUUCUCUCUUCUGUCCUCCCUCAUACUAGCUUUUCUUCAAGCUGUUCCCCAUCAUGAUCCUGAGAUGACCACCGUGACUGCCAACUGCUUCAGUGUUCUCCUCCAUCAGGAAAGAGUGCUUGCCCUUCCCAGCAAAACCCUCAAGAUUUAUUUAUGUAUUUUUCUUGCAGAGCUGGGGAUGGAACCCAAGGCCGUGUGUGUGCUAGGCAAGCGCUCGACCACUGAGCUACUUUCCCAGUUCCCUCAGGAUUGACUUUGACUGGUGAAUUUAGGCUACAUAUCCACUUUGAAUAAGUUUCUGGCCUAGGGAAAUAAUGCACUGAGUAAUUUAGCCUAAGUGACAUCCCCCAUUGCUGGGGAUGGAGGUAGGUUUCAUUUUUUUUCAGAACCUCAUUUCGGCGCUGAUAAGGAAGCGAAUGUGGAGACUCUGAUGCUGAGGAGGCCACUAACCAUGCUGCCUUCCAUGAAGAACCACAAGGCCCAAAUGCUUGAAGACUUUUCCAUUUGAAAACCAGCGUGCGUACUGCUUAAACCAAGGUCAAGGCAUCUGAUGUGACACCAAGUGGCUUUCAUCAACAGGCAUGAGGAGCAGUCUGAACCUUUGCAUUUUCUGAUGUUACAAAACACUGGGUUCUGUACUUCAGUGCUCUCGCCAGGGAAGCUUUCUUGUUUGUGCAUUUUAGCCAUUUUCAACAUGCUCUAAAUUGAAACAGAGAAUGUAUUUUUUUCUUUCUAGUGUUAAAAUCCAAUAAGCAGCGGCACACUGCAGGAAGUCGGUCUAGCCACAGCAAAUCUGUACUUGUUUUUGUGAGAGAGGAUGGGAAGAAUGAAUAUUUGCCCUGUGGCAUCAAUUUCCUGUUUAAUGUUCUCCAAGAAGUGUUUGGAAAAUGCCCAGCUACACAGAUGAGCUCUAGGUCGUUCUGGCUGAUGUGAGGGCUGCAGGGAGAGGUGUCGCUGCAGCUCGUACGCCCUGCGUGCUUCUGCUCACUUUCACUUCCUGCCUAAGCAGCAGCACCUCACAUGGACCACAGAAGGCUUCCUGGAAGACAUGCCCUAUUGCACGUGAGGAUUCAAGAGCCAACUGGGCCCCGGUGGAUGCCAUGGAACCAGCUGGCAGACCUGCGACUGUGGAGAGCUCUCCUCAUGCUCAGCUUGGCAAAGCUGCUCCUCUUGCUUGUUCUCCUUUUCUUUGUACAUAAUAAAAUGGGCUUUUGAUUA